GACAGAGGUGCCAAGCGUUAGGCGGAAUCACUGGGCUUAAAGCGUGUGUAGGCGGGCGAUCAAGUACCAUUGUGAAAUCCCACGGCUCAACCGUGGAACUGCUGGGUAUACUGGUUGUCUUGAGCCAGCUAGGGGCGAGCGGAACAGACGGUGGAGCGGUGAAAUGCGUAGAUAUCAGGAGGAACACCGGUGGUGUAAACGGCUUUCUGGACCAUAACUGACGCUGAGGCACGAAAGCGUGGGUAGCAAACAGG
rnacentral:rRNA from 1 species